rnacentral:rRNA from 1 species
GACAGAGGCCUCAAGCGUUAGGCGGAAUCACUGGGCUUAAAGCGUGUGUAGGCGGAUCGUUAAGUGUCUUGUGAAAUCCCACAGCUCACCCGUGGAACUGCUGGGCAUACUGGCGAUCUUGGGCCAACUAGGGGCAACUGGAACAAGCGGUGGAGCGGUGAAAUGCGUAGAUAUCGCUUGGAACGCCGAAGGUGAAAACAGGCUGCUGGGGUUGCGCCGACGCUGAGACACGAAAGCCAGGGGAGCAAACGGG